rnacentral:rRNA from 1 species
GAUGAACGCUGGCGGCGUGCCUAACACAUGCAAGUCGAACGUGAUUCGGUAGCAAUAUCGAUGAAAGUGGCGAACGGGUGAGUAACACGUAGAUAACCUGCCUCGAAGAGGGGGAUAACGACUGGAAACGGUCGCUAACACCGCAUGGUGCUGGAUUGACGGGAGUUAAUUCAGUGAAAACUCUGGUGCUUCGAGAGGGGUCUGCGGCCGAUUAGCUAGUUGGUGGGGUAAGAGCCCACCAAGGCGACGAUCGGUAGCUGGUCUGAGAGGACGAUCAGCCACACGGGAACUGAGGAACGGUCCCGACUCCUACGGGGGGCAGCAGUGAGGAAUACUGGGCAAUGGGCGGAAGCCUGACCCAGCAACGCCGCGUGGAGGAAUGAAGGCCUUCGGGUUGUAAACUCCUUUUACGGGGGAAGAGGAAGGACGGUACCCCGAGAAUAAGUCACGGCUAACUACGUGCCAGCAGCCGCGGUAACAC